rnacentral:miRNA from 1 species
UAUUAUGUUGGUGCAAAAGUAAUUACGGUUUUUGCCAUUAUCUUCAAUGGCAUUAUGAAGAUAAUGCCAAAAACCGUAAUUACUUUUGCACCAACAUAAUA